rnacentral:lncRNA from 1 species
GUUGCAUAUGCCUACCACUCCAGUUAUAUACUAUGUAAUAUUAAGUUGGCCAGAUGGCUUUUAAAGUAAUGUGUAGUAUCCAUUUAUUAAUAAGUAAAUCAAUAGAUUGAGUGAAAAUAAGAAUAAGAUAAAAAGGGCAAGUGUCAGCCAAGUUAAGGAGCAAAUUUUAUUUCUAAAAUCAUUUGAGAGAUUGCUGUAUUUAUGCUCAUAUGUUUUUAUGUCAUGGAUCUAAGAUGUUGAUGAAUAAAAUAGUUUAUUACCAUAUACACUUAAAUAGAUGAAAUAACUAUUUUGAAGUGAUGACAUAAAUUGCUUUAUCUUAAACAAUUGAUAAUUAUUUAAUGACUGUAUAGUUAUCUUAGCCUUUUUCACUUUCCUUGGAACCUGUCUUCGCUCCACAUAUCAGAUUUUGCCCCCUCUCUAAUAGUUUAAAGUACAGAAGUUAGAAUCAUUUCCUUAUGACAAAUACUUACAUUUAAUUUUAGUUUCAAAAUUUGCAAAACAGGCUGCUUUCUGGAACUCAAGUAUCAUUAUGUGGUUAAGAAGUUUAGGGAAGAAAUUGCCAUAAUCUAACUUUAUAUCUUAGGUUUAUAUAUUUUAAGUUACUAACAUAAUAUAGUGAAGAUAUUUUUGUUGACAAAAAUAGCAUUUUAGAUACUCUAUUUCCAUGAAAACUUACAGCUCUUUCCUGUCCUUUCUGCAAGGAGACAAGUUUUCACCAUCUUUUCUACUGUGGGCAGUCAGGCACUAAUAAAUAGAAACAGGAAGUUGUUCCAUUUUUAGAGCUCACUAGACAUUAA